rnacentral:misc_RNA from 1 species
GUCGAACUUCAUUGGAAAUGGCAAAGAUUGGUUAACCAAUGGUUCAAGUCAAUCUGCCCUUGGAGUGAAAAACACCCAGUAUGUUUGUUUGGAUUCAAUUGCAAAGAAUACCGUUAUCGCUUUGGCGCACACAGUUCUUUUCAUGGAUUUGCUCCUUUCUUAGUGAUUUUACAUACAAAAGCACAUUAAGCAUAAACUAGAUAUUUCAAGAGUGCUUAUAUCAACCUCAU